UUUGAUUUCACAUAAAUCAGCCACUAAAAUUUAUGUUUCUUAUUCUGCAGUUGAAAUUUUUUUAAGUCGAAAUAUUCUCCAUAAAGUUACUUUCUUGUUGUGUUUGAUUUGAAGAGAUGUGUUUUUCGAGUUUGAAGAUGAAGAAAUUGGAAAUGAUUUUUUCACAUUAAUUAAUGGGUUUUAAAAUGGAGUUGAAAAGAUUAAUUUUUAGGUUGAUGAAUUUCUGAAAAAUUUGCUGAGAUUGUUUGUGGUGAUGAUGAUUUUGUUGAUGAAUUUCAGAAUUUCUGGUUUUGUUGUUGUUGUUAUUGAUGAAUUUCUAGAUUGAAGGAUUGUUGUUGUUGAUGAAGAUGAAGAAGAACAUGAGGGGGAAGAUGAAGAAGAACAAAAAAAUUUGGUGUUGGUGGUUCACCGUUACAUACAAUGGUCUUGCAAUCUAAUGGCUGAAAUCAUAUUUAAGAUAUUAGACAUUAAAAAACUAACGGAGUGGACCAACUAACUAACAGAGGUGUACAUGAGGGACCAAAAUGGAAAAGUUUAGAAUUAAGGGACCAUAUCGAAAACAACAAAUAAGUUGAGGGACCAUUUAUGUAAU
rnacentral:lncRNA from 1 species